UAGGGAAUCUUCGGCAAUGGGGGCAACCCUGACCGAGCAACGCCGCGUGAGUGAAGAAGGUUUUCGGAUCGUAAAGCUCUGUUGUAAGUCAAGAACGGGUGUGAGAGUGGAAAGUUCACACUGUGACGGUAGCUUACCAGAAAGGGACGGCUAACUACGUGCCAGCAGCCGCGGUAAUACGUAGGUCCCGAGCGUUGUCCGGAUUUAUUGGGCGUAAAGCGAGCGCAGGCGGUUUGAUAAGUCUGAAGUUAAAGGCUGUGGCUCAACCAUAGUUCGCUUUGGAAACUGUCA
rnacentral:rRNA from 1 species